CGUACAGGAUUAGAUACCCUGGUAGUCCACGCCGUAAACGAUGAUCACUCGCUGUUGGCAAUAUAGAGUCAGCGACUGAGCGAAAGCAUUAAGUGAUCCACCUGGGGAGUACGUCGGCAACGAUGACACUCAAAGGAAUCGACGGGGACCCGCACAAGCGGUGGAACAUGUGGCCUAAUUCGAUGAUACGCGAGGAACCUUACCUGGGCUUAAAUGUAGCCGGACGAUUCCGGAAACGGGAUUUCCUUAACGACUGGUUACAAGGUGCUGCAUGGCUGUCGUCAGCUCGUGCCGUGAGGUAUCGGGUUAAGUCCCAUAACGAGCGCAACCCUUAUUCUUAGUUGCCAGCGGGUAGAGCCGGGGACUCUAAGGAGACUGCCACCGUAAGGUGUGAGGAAGAUGGGGAUGACGUCAGGUCAGCACGGCCCUUACGUCCAGGGCUACACACGUGUUACAAUGGCCGGUACAGAAGGCGGCAAACUUGAGAGAGGGCGCGAAUCCAUGAAAGCCGGUCUCAGUUCGGAUUGGAGUCUGCAACCCGACUUCAUGAAGUUGGAAUCGCUAGUAAUCGCGCAUCAGCAAUGGCGCGGUGAUACGUUCCCGGGCCUUGUACACACCGCCCGUCAAGCCAUGGAAGCCGGGGGUACCUGAAGUCCGUAACCGCAAGGAGCGGC
rnacentral:rRNA from 1 species